GCGCAGACAGGUGUCUACAGAGUGGAAAGAAGUUGUUGCAUCUGAUAAUUCUUCAAUCGUGUAGCAGCAACUGCAGCUUACAUGGAAUGAGGAUUAUCGGAUUCAUCUACACUCACUGAUCAUCCAAGGUGAAUUGAUGACCUCAAGCAAAUGGAUGUUGUUGUCAUCUGAAGAGAAGGUUGUCCUGGGCCCAUGUUUAGAGGCAUUUGGGGCAUAUCAGACACAUAUCAGAAUCAAGCUGCAUGCACACUUGAGUUUAUUCAGAGAGAAGUUGUGGGCAUCAGUCCGGAAACUGGAUCAAAAAUUUGCUGCUGGAAUGUGAGACAAAUAAAGGCAUGGAAUGAACCCAAAUGUAUGAACACUGCUACGAAAACUAAUGGACUUUGAAUGGCUUGCCAGUUAAUUCCAAUGGAAUUGAAGAAGAGACUCUGACAAGAUUUUCAAGUUUGUGUUUAAUUUAAAAGUUUAUCUUCAUAGAUAAGCAAUUUAAAGGUAGGCACAGUUAAAACUAUUUCUUGUGUGUUUGUUUAAACUGUAAAUUUAUGACUGAAGUUUGGUCACUAUGUAGUAAUGUGUUCCUUUGUGGUUAAUUAAAUGCUGCAGUGCUUAGUGGUAUUCGUUGUUGUAUUUCCAAGGCUAAAGCCUUAUUUUGUGAUCUGCAUUGUAUUGGAGAGUUUUGGAAACUAAUACUUAUUAUCUUAAUGCAUUGGAAAGUUUUGGACUAUUGAACAAUAAAUGCAUUUGGCUACA